rnacentral:tRNA from 1 species
GGGGUUAUAGCUUAGUGGUGGAGCGCUUGCCUCACACGUAUGAGGCACUGGGUUUGAUCCUCAGUACCG